GCCCAUUUCAGCACCAGGUGGAAAAAAAUUAACAAAGAUUGCCUUAUGUUAAAAAAUUAAAAAUAAGGAAGUAACUCUCAAAUAUGUAGUAUGAAAAAACAGAUUUAAUUACAGAUGAAUAUUAAAACUCAGAAUGGUCAACAAAUGAAUUAAAAACUUAAGGUAAAAUUUCAAAAUAACUACAUACAGUACAUAAAUCUAAAAUGACUUAUUGCUACAUCAUGUAACAACUUCUUUAAAACAGUGACAAAAUGUGCAUAAUAUUAAGCAGUAUUUUUUCAGCAGUUUUUUGUAUUAUAAAGCUAACAUUUAUUCAGUAAAGACUGGCUGACUGCCUAAUAUAUAUUGAGCUCUAUUCCUAAAUAUUAGAGAUACAAAGAAUUAAGCCUCAGAAACUGACAGGCAUGUUGAGGAUAUAAGAGACAUAAAUUCAAAGCAGUGUUACUGGUGCUAAUAUAAAUGUAAAUAAAUGUAGGUAAAGUCAUGGCACAAAUAACAGACUAGGUAUCUCAGUAUAGGAGAACCAGAGAAAAUUUCACAGAGAAGACACAAAACUGUGUGGUCUCAGGGAAUAUAAGUCCACUAGACAAGUGGAAAGAGGAAAAGGUAUUACAGUCAUAAAGAUAUAAAACAACACUGCCCUUUGGGAAGUUAUCAGACUUAGGUGUGUCUAGAGCUCAGGAACCACCAGGGAUUGGACCUGGAUGUUAGACCAGAUCACAAAGUCCUCAUGCUAAAGAAGGAUUUAAAUUAGACAUUAUCUCAGAG
rnacentral:lncRNA from 1 species